ensembl:misc_RNA Metazoa_SRP Metazoan signal recognition particle RNA
GCCGGGUGUGGUGGCCCACACCUGUAACCCUAGCACCUCUGGGAGGCCGAGGUGGGUGGAUCGCCUGAGGUCAGGAGUUCGAGACCAGCCUGGCCAACAUGGCGAAAUCCCAUCUCUA